rnacentral:rRNA from 1 species
AUACGAAGGGGGCAAGCGUUGUUCGGAAUAACUGGGCGUAAAGCGCACGUAGGCGGAAUGUUAAGUUAGAGGUGAAAUCCCAGGGCUCAACCCUGGAACGGCCUUUAAUACUGGCGAUCUAGAGACCGAGAGAGGUGAGUGGAAUUCCGAGUGUAGAGGUGAAAUUCGUAGAUAUUCGGAGGAACACCAGUGGCGAAGGCGGCUCACUGGCUCGGUACUGACGCUGAGGUGCGAAAGCGUGGGGAGCAAACAGGAUUAGAUACCCUAGUAGUCC